rnacentral:rRNA from 1 species
UACGGAGGGUGCGAGCGUUAAUCGGAAUUACUGGGCGUAAAGAGUGCGUAGGUGGUUAAUUAAGUUAUCUGUGAAAAUCCCUGGGCUUAACCUGGGCAGGUCAGAUGAUACUGAUUGACUCGAGUAUGGGAGAGGGUAGUGGAAUUUCCGGUGUAGCGGUGAAAUGCGUAGAGAUCGGAAGGAACACCAGUGGCGAAGGCGGCUACCUGGCCUAAUACUGACACUGAGGCAC